UUAGUAUGCAUUCAUCUCGUGCAUGUACUUCCGUCUUGUGCACCUGCAUUAAGUCAUAAGAAAACAGAUAUUGAUUUCCACACACAGAGACGGAAGUACAUGCACGAGAUGCAGGCAGGCGUUUACAUGGUUUUGCGCAUGGGUUUAUUUAUUAUUUCCUGUGGAUAUGUUAUCUCAAAUGUUGACCAGCUGAGAGACCUACCCCAUUGGGCAAUUGGCAGAGACCUGAGCCCUAGGACCAUGCCUCAGGACUACCUGACAUGAUGACUCCUUGCUGUCCCCAGUCCACCUGGCCGUGCUGCUGCUCCAGUUUCAACUGUUCUGCCUUAUUAUUAUUGGACCAUGCUGGUCAUUCAUGAACAUUUGAACAUCUUGGCCAUGUUCUGUUAUAAUCUCCACCCGGCACAGCCAGAAGAGGACUGGCCACCCCACAUAGCCUGGUUCCUCUCUAGGUUUCUUCCUAAGUUUUGGCCUUUCUAGGGAGUUUUUCCUAGCCACCGUGCUUCUACACCUGCAUUGCUUGCUGUUUGGGGUUUUAGGCUGGGUUUCUGUACAGCACUUUGAGAUAUCAGCUGAUGUACAAAGGGCUAUAUAAAUAAAUUUGAUUUGAUUUGAUGACUUA